rnacentral:rRNA from 1 species
AUUGAACGCUGGCGGCAGGCCUAACACAUGCAAGUCGAGCGGAUGACGGGAGCUUGCUCCUUGAUUCAGCGGCGGACGGGUGAGUAAUGCCUAGGAAUCUGCCUGGUAGUGGGGGACAACGUUUCGAAAGGAACGCUAAUACCGCAUACGUCCUACGGGAGAAAGCAGGGGACCUUCGGGCCUUGCGCUAUCAGAUGAGCCUAGGUCGGAUUAGCUUGUUGGUGAGGUAAUGGCUCACCAAGGCGACGAUCCGUAACUGGUCUGAGAGGAUGAUCAGUCACACUGGAACUGAGACACGGUCCAGACUCCUACGGGAGGCAGCAGUGGGGAAUAUUGGACAAUGGGCGAAAGCCUGAUCCAGCCAUGCCGCGUGUGUGAAGAAGGUCUUCGGAUUGUAAAGCACUUUAAGUUGGGAGGAAGGGUUGUAGAUUAAUACUCUACAAUUUUGACGUUACCGACAGAAUAAGCACCGGCUAACUCUGUG